CAACCUGAUUUAUAUAGUGAGGUCUAGGAAAGCCAGAGGAAGCAGAAUUUGAAUAUUAAAACUCAGCGUAUAGAGUGUAUGGUAUAAUGCACAUCAUUGCAAUCUCAGCCCUCAGGAGGCAAAGGCAGAAAGACCAGAGUUUGAAGCUACCCUAGACUAUGCAGUAAGUUCUAGGCCAGCCAGAACUAGAUGUGAGAAACUGGUUGAAAACAAUAGUGGGGGCUGGAGAGAGGGCUCAGUGGUUAAGAGCACCAACUGCUCUUCCAAAGGUCCUGAGUUCAAAUCCCAGCAACCACAUGGUGAAUCACAACCAUCUAUAAAGAGAUCUGAUGCCCUCUUCUGGUGCAUCUGAAGACAGCUACAGUGUACUUAGAUAUAAUAAUAGUUCU
rnacentral:lncRNA from 1 species